ensembl:lncRNA
CUCAUUUCCCCAACAAUUUCCUUGUUUACAAUGAGAAUAUAAACCUGGAAAUUUAGCCAUCAAGACCUGAGCUUUGUAGACAUUGUCAGUUAAAAUGCCCAGAAGGAUCAUAUUUAAAGAUCUGUUACCAUUAUCUUUAUUCGUUUUUCCCCUCGUUGGCUGCCAAUAAUUGAGGCACCUUUUGGCAUUGGAGGGCAGCGGCCAGAGAGAACACUUGUGAAUAUGGAGACCAAUAUCAGCAAAGAAGCAGAGGCUGUUGACUACCUGCAAAAAAAUGGAGUGAACACAGUUCAGGAAUUGAGUCAUGCGAUAAGUCUGUGGGGUAGUGGACCAAGCCACCAGAACUGGUAUCUGGUUUUCCCUGGUGUUGACUGGAUGAUUCUGAUGCCAGCAGGACUCCUCUGGACAUGAACUCAGGACCUUUUUCAAGGUGAUUAAUUCAGCUUUCUGAACAGAAGUCCCAGCAACUGGAGUUUUCAGCAGAUGUCUGGUGCCACUUGAUUGAUGAAUCAUAGCAGACCGGAUCUUGCCUCUGGAUCCAGAGGUAUAUAGGAAAAAACUUUUCAUCUUCUGGGCCUGACAGCCAGACUGUCUCCACCCAAGUUGCCAUGGAAACCACAGGAACCUGAGAACUGCUGUGGAGACCACAGGGAACUGUUUACUUCGUGGACUACAGACCAACUUCUGUUAUUUUAAUUAAUACCUGACUCCUAGAUUAUAAUUGAUUCUUCCCAGAUUUCUGACUACAUUGAAGCUAAGCUUGAGAGCUAGAAAACAGACCUAGCUCCUUACCCCAAGGAAGUAUUGCUCUACAUGGCUACUGGUGUCCUGGAACUUACCAUGUGAAUCAAGAUGGCCUCAAACUCAGAGAUGCAUUUGUAUGUCUCCAAAACACACCACUAGGUCCAGG